rnacentral:lncRNA from 1 species
CAUAAUCAAUGCUGUCCUUAGAACAAAUAUGACAUCAUAGAGAGGAGUUGCAAAUCAAAUGCCAUAUAAUAAGUUCCCGUGAAAGGAAUCUGAAGUGGAAUAUGGUCUUGUAUGAAUAAAUCUUCAAGGAGUAUCGCUAAACUAGUUUGAUAAAUCUGGCGUAUACCCAAUUAUCAAUUGAUACAAGUCCAUUCCAUCCUCUGCAAACAUAAUCAAUUUUCCCUUACUUGCCAUCAGUUGUCAAAACACCUACUCCAUAUUCAAGCACCUAGAGUGCAUGGUUAUGUAGGCUCUUCUCAUCUGUCCUGUAUAAUUCUUCAGAAACAUAUUCAAAAUUUUUCUUCACAAAUUUUAAUUACUACUCCAUAUUCCACCUAGAUUUGAUAUGCCCCAAUCAAAAUGUCCAUGUCUACAUCAACAUCUCAAAAUGCUCAUGUCUCCAUCAACAUCAAGCUUUGAGAUUAGGUCAAGUUAUAGGAGAAAUCGACAGAAACAAAGCAGAAAUAGACUCAUAGUCGACCGCUUCAUUAAGUCCUCUAUGUGUGGGAUCAUCGAAUCUGCUCGUCAUUAGUUCUCCACCACAACUCUCUUUUCCUCCUUACAUCUCCAUCAACUUGAAACUUCAUCACAUGCAUGAAUAACUUUUUCUUUCUCAAUUUUUUAUGAUCCCCAUGGUCUCCAUAAUUUUUUCCAAGCCACAUGGGUGGAAAAGCUUGAGUAGAUUUAAAUAGAGGUAGAAAAGGAGCCUGAAGGGGAGGAGAUAUUAUACCUCGACCAGGUCCUGGUAAAAGUGAAGAAAAAGGUCCACAUGCAGACUUUGGAGGCUGCAACGAGUUCCAAAUCAUGUCUACAAGUAGAUCGAGACACUGUUCUAGUCUCACCAAUGCUGCCACUAGGACUUUUUCAUUUUCUCUGCAAAGUUUUUGAGUUUCUGAUCAAACUCCUUAUCGGUCUACAGUUCUCGCCAGUCCGCCAUCACCCACUUCCCUUUAUUCUAAUAUGCCGAUGUUAUUGUAGGUAUUGUUUCUUUGGAAUUGUGAAGAUAGAUUUGCAUAAGUUGCAGGCAUGAAGGAGAAAUGAAAAGCAAGGAGAGUCGACAGCAAAAGAUAAGAACAUCGGAGAAAGCAAGAAGGAAGAAGCAAAGAGAAGAAGGAUACAAAAGAAGGAAUUAUGAUCACCGAGGUUUGGACCACUCUGCCACCAAGUUGUCAGGAACCUAUCCUGAUUUCUAAGAAACAAAGGAAGAAGAGCAUGAAGAAGAAGAAGAAGAGGAAGAAGAAGAAGAAGAAGAAAAAGAAGAAGAAGAAGAAGAAAAAAAAAAGAACAAGAAGAAAAAGAAGAAGAAGAAUAAGAGGAAGAAGAAGAGGAAGAAAAGAUUCAAAGCAGAACUUUGCUGUUGAGAAAGAAAUUUAGUAAUCAUUCAUGUCUUUCCCUUGAUAUAAACCCAUUUUAAUACCACCUUUUAUUGCUGAAAACUAAGUAGAAAGGAAGAAAUUUAUAUAGAAAGGGAGAAAUUUCUUUCUGCAUUUUGAAAGGCUGAAGACAGCCAAUACAUACAGACUUUAUAAUCAAUUACUUUACUUUUAGAGGAAGAUUUGACAGGUAGCUUACAGUAGAUAAAAAAUCAGAAAUAAAAUCUAAUAAUGCCAAAUCUAGCUAUUAACAACAAAACGUACAACUAAUAAUUGCUGGAUUGUUAACCAAAUCAAGAAUUAAAAGCCGAACAAAAAAAAUUAUAAUAAUGAAUUAAAUGUUGAGAAUCUUUCAAUGUUAAUACUGAGAAUAUCUCCACAUCAAUGUUGAGAAUUUUUCCACAUUAAUGCUGAGAAUAUUUCCACACUUCCCCUUAAGCUGGGUUGAAAAUGUUAUUCAUCCCGAGAUUGCAAGUUAGGUCUUCAAAGAUUUCUUGAAGCAGGGCUUUGAUGAGAAUGUCUGCAACCUGCAACCUUGUUGGUGUGUAGAGCAGUUGGAUAACAUUGUCUCCUACUUUUGUGUUUGACGAAAUAAUUAUCAAUUUCAACAUGUUUGGUUUUGUCAUGAUGCAUUGGAUUUUUGGCAAUACUUAGAGAUUAUCACAAAAAGUUUCAUAGGGUCUUCUAGGUUAGUUCCUAAUUCCUUGAGUAACCUUAUAAUCCAAAUAUCUUCACAGAUUGCAUUGUCCAUAUCAUGAAAUUCUGCUUCUGCACAACCUCUAGAGAUUACAGACCAUUUCUUGCUUCUCGAGGCAACCAAAUUUCUCUAUACAUAGGAAUAAUAACAAGAUGUUGAUCUCCAGUUUAUGACAGAUGUCACCCAAUCUGCAUCACAAUAAAUUUCUACUUCUCAAUUAGGACCAUUCUUGAAUAAUAAACCCUUGUCAGGUGUUAAAGUCAAGUAUCUCAGAAUCCUGUAAAUAGCCUUCGAAUGUUCUUCUUCUUGAUCAUUCAUGAACUGACUUAUAAAGCUAACAGUGAAUCCAAUAUCUGAAUGUGUGUGAGAGGUAGAUGAGUUUGCCUACCAAUCUUUGGUACCUUUAUCGACUAAACAUCUUUUGUAGACAUUCCCAACUUGUGGAUGAUUUCUAUAGGAGUCUCAACUGGUUUACAUCCCAACAUCCUACACUCAGUAAGCAAAUUUAUGAUAUUUUUUAUGGGACACAAAUGUUUUCUCUUGAUCUUGCAACCUCCAUUACUAGGAAGCAUGUAAGAUUUUCUACAUCUUUAAUAUUGAAUUCUUUAAUCAGAAUUUUCUCCACAUUAAUCAGCUCUUCUAUGAAAUCACCAAUAACAAUUUUUUUUUUGAAAUAUAAAAUCAUUAAUAACAAUUAUGUCAUCAACAUACACUACUACAAAAGAUAAUUUACGGCAGUUUGAUGUCUUUACAAAUAGUGUAUGGUCAACUUGACAUUAGAAAUAUUCAUGUUGUUGUACUACUCUUUUGAAUCUUCCGAACCAAACUCUUUUAGAUUGCUUAAGACCAUACAAUGACCAUUUUAAUUUUUAAACCAGAUAUCUCACAACUAGAGCUCCAAAUCCAGGAAGGAUCUUCAAAUACGCGUUUUCAAAUAGAUCUCCAUUCAGGAAUAUAUUCUUCACAUCUACCUAGAAUAAGGACCAAUCCAAAUUUGCAGUUAACUACAAGAGAAGACAGUCGAUAUUUGGCUUAGCCACUGAUGCAAAUAUCUCUUGUUAGUUGAUACCAUAAGACUAGAUAAAUCUUUUUGCCACAAAUCGUGUUUUAUGUCUGUCGAUGUUUCUAUCAUCCUUGUCUUUUACCGUAAAGAUCCAUUUGCAUCCAGCUGGAUUUUUUUUCUAGGAGCGAUUUUUGUGAUUUUCCAUGUCUAGUUCUUUUCUAGGGCCCGAAUCUCAUCAUAGAUAACUAUCUUCCAAUAAGGAUUUCUGUGAGCAUCUUGAAUAUUGGUAAGAACCUGCAAUACAUCUAAACUUGUAAUAACGGCUUGAAACUUAGGUGAGAAUCCUGAAUAAGAGAUAUAAUUAUAUAAAGUAUGCUUAGUACAGGAUCUUAUUCCUUUCCAUCGAGCGAUGGACCAGCAUAAAUCAUUUCUAAAAUUUUCAAAAAUUAUGUUAUUUUCAUUUGAUGAAUCCGAAUUGGACUCUUGUUCAAGUACUGGCAGUGCUUGAGAUUCUCCCUCCUGGGUGGAGGAACGUGCUCUCCUCGAAUAGGUAUAAAGCUCAUUGUGCACGUUCUUCGUUGGUAACUCCAACGUUGGAGAUUAUGCUCAACAGAUAUUGACUCAUCUUACAUGAUGCUUUGAGUAUAGUUCACGAGAUCUAGAAACUUAGAUGUCCAUAUGAUCUCACAUCUGUACUGACNNNNNNNNNNNNNNNNNNNNNNNNNNNNNNNNNNNNNNNNNNNNNNNNNNNNNNNNNNNNNNNNNNNNNNNNNNNNNNNNNNNNNNNNNNNNNNNNNNNNNNNNNNNNNNNNNNNNNNNNNNNNNNNNNNNNNNNNNNNNNNNNNNNNNNNNNNNNNNNNNNNNNNNNNNNNNNNNNNNNNNNNNNNNNNNNNNNNNNNNNNNNNNNNNNNNNNNNNNNNNNNNNNNNNNNNNNNNNNNNNNNNNNNNNNNNNNNNNNNNNNNNNNNNNNNNNNNNNNNNNNNNNNNNNNNNNNNNNNNNNNNNNNNNNNNNNNNNNNNNNNNNNNNNNNNNNNNNNNNNNNNNNNNNNNNNNNNNNNNNNNNNNNNNNNNNNNNNNNNNNNNNNNNNNNNNNNNNNNNNNNNNNNNNNNNNNNNNNNNNNNNNNNNNNNNNNNNNNNNNNNNNNNNNNNNNNNNNNNNNNNNNNNNNNNNNNNNNNNNNNNNNNNNNNNNNNNNNNNNNNNNNNNNNNNNNNNNNNNNNNNNNNNNNNNNNNNNNNNNNNNNNNNNNNNNNNNNNNNNNNNNNNNNNNNNNNNNNNNNNNNNNNNNNNNNNNNNNNNNNNNNNNNNNNNNNNNNNNNNNNNNNNNNNNNNNNNNNNNNNNNNNNNNNNNNNNNNNNUUUGUAUGACUUUAUCUUAUUUGUUUCCUCUGUGUCUAUUCCAUAAGAUUGGAGAAAAACUCUACAGGAUCCCAAAUAAAAAGAAGUCAUGAUUGAAGAAAUAAAAAUUUUGGCAAAGAAUGAAACCCGAGAUCUUGUUUCAUCUCCACUGAGAAAAAAGAUAGUUGGUUGCAAAUUGGUGUUUACUGUAAAACACAAAACAGACGGAUCGAUUGAAAUGUAAAAAACUAGACUGAUGGCUAAAAAGGUAGACUCAGAUCUAUAAAGUAACCAUCAUAAGACAUUUGCACUUAUCGCAAAAAUGAAUACAUUCAGAAUAUUGUCAUCUUAUGCAACUAAAUUUGAUUGGAACUUACAACAGUUUAAUGUGAAAAAUAUCUUACUCCAUGGAGGCUUAGAGGAAAAUGUAUAUAUGAAAAUUCUUCCUGGAUUUGAAGAUGAAAGAACACAAGUGAAGGUUUGUAAAUAAAGAAUGCUUUAUAUGGGUUGAAGCAGUCUCAAAUAGCAUAGUUUGAAAGAUUUAAAAGAGUUAUAAUUUCUUUUUAAUAUCAACAAAACAAUGUUGAUCAUACCCUAUUUAUUAGACAUUACAAGGGUAAGGUCACUUGUAGAUGAUAUUGUUAUGAUUUGAUAUGAUAUAAGGGAGAUAGUUCGAUUGAAAAAACUUCUUACUCAAGAGUUUGAAAUAAAUUAUGUAGAAGAAUUACAGUACUUCUUAGAAAUUGAAGUUGUCUGACUUAAUAAAGAGAUUUUUAUUUAUCAAAAACAAUAUAUCCUAAAUUUAUUAGAAGAGAUUGGUAUGAUGGGCUGCAAGCUGGUAGUCUCCUUUUGAAACCAAUUAAAACUACAGACGAGAAUUGGUACAUCAGUAGACUUGGGAAGAUAUUAGAGAUUGAUUGGAAGAUUCAUUUAUCUCUCACAUACUAGACUUGAUAUAACAUAUGUAGUUAACCUAGUGAAUCAGUACAUGCAUGAUCCUCGCAAGCCUCAUUUAUAUGUCAUUUUUCACAUAUUCAAUAAUUAAAUAUGCACAAGGAAAAGCUCUACUCUUCUCCAAAAAUGGCAUUAUAAAAUAGACACAUUUACAGAUGUUGAUUGGACUGCAUCUCCAGAUAAUAGGAGAUCAACUAUUGGUUAUUGCGUACUCAUAGGAGGCAACCAAGUUACUUAGAAAAGCAAAAAGCAGAGUGUAGUUAUUUGUUCCAAUGCUGAAGCAUAAUAUAGAACGAUAACAAUGUCCUAAGAAGUAUGUGAAUUAUUAUGGUUGCAAAAACUAAUAAAAAAAUUAGAAUUGUUUAAAAAAGAUAGUUUAUCCUUAUUUUGUAACAAUAAAACAACCAUUAGCAUAACUCAUUAUCCAGUUCAACAUAAUCGAACAAAAUACAUUAAGAUUGAUCAACACUUCAUAACAGAGAAAGUGAUUAAUAGCUUCUUAUGCAUAUAUCAUGUGUUUUCUAGUGAACACGUCACAAAUCUCUUCACCAAAUAACUUUACAACAAAUUUUUUCAUAAUUUAGUCUACAAGUUGGGCAUGUACGAUAUUUUUACACCAACUUCAAGGGAAUUUUAACUAGAACAUUCCAUUACUCCAUUAGUUGAGAUAUUUUUUCUUAAUAUUCCUUCCCAUAAUCUUUUCUAUAAUGAUGUAAUUAAUUAGUAUAAUCAAUUAAAAUCCCUACAAUUAUAUAAAUUUUCUGAUUCAUAAAAACAAAUUCUGUAUAUAUACAUCGAUUAUAAUAUUACAAGUGAUAUAAGAAAAUAAAAGUAUAGAUUUUUUGAGAAUUAUAAUAUCACAAGUGAUAUAAGAAAAUAAAAGUAAAUAUUUUUUCUCAAAAAAUCUAUACUUUUAACGGAAUUGUUGACACUAGGCAGAAAUAAGGAUAAUGUUUAAAAAGAAUAUGGACCAAAGUUUGGAAGCUAGAACAUGAGAUGGCAUCCGGUUUAUGAGGUUGGCUGCAAUAAGGAUGGUUUGAAAAAUUGGUUGUCAUUCUCAAAGAAUAGACAAUUUCAAGAAGAUGUCUGUUUUUCUCUCUACAAUUUUAUUUUUUUGUAGAGUAUCUACACAAAAACUUUGACGCGAUUCCUUGGUGCAACAAAUUAUCUCCUGCAACAUUAUUGAAAACUUCUUUGGCAUUAUUUGUUACAAGGAUUUCAAUUUUUGUUUAGAAUUGAUUUUGGAUCAUUUUGUGAAAAUUUUGAAAGACUUGUCCAACUUCUAACUUUCCUUUUAAAAAAAAAAAUCCAUGUCAAACAAGUGUGAUCAUUAAUAAAGGGUGCAAACUUACAAAACCCAACUACAUAUUUAACAUGAGUUAAUCUUCAUACAUCACUAUGAAAUAUUGUGAAUGGAUGAGACGGUUUAUAUGGAUGGCUUAGAAACAAAUUUCGUGAAUGUUUUAAGAUUUGACACACAUCACACUGAAAUAAUUUUGGAUUUUUAAUUUUCAAUAGCGAUGGAAAAACUUUUUUGAGGUACAAAAAGAUGGGAAUACCGAAUAGAAAAUACCAUAAUAUAAUAUCAUUAUCGGAAACAUUAAUUAAAGAGUUAUGAGGAACUGAACUAACAACAUGUAGAGCUUGUCCACUUGGAGAGUUGUUGUUGGUGCGGAGGUACAACCCUGAACACUCUUUAAUACUACCAAUCGUUCUCUCCCAUACCCAAAUCCUGAAAUUCACACAAAUUCUUAAAAAAUUUAAUAACAACGAUUUUGAGGUAAUAUUCUUAUCGAUAACAAGUUAAAAUCCAAUCUUGAAACAAAUAACACAGAGUGAAGUAUUAAGUAUUUCAUCAACUCCAUCUUUCCAAUUCCAAUGAUUUGUGAUUUUGUUCCAUCAACAAUCCGCAUAUACUACUUCUAUUUACAUGGAUUAAGGUUAGCAAAUAACCAUGAAUCUUCAGUUAUAUGGUCAGAGACACUUGAGUAGACAAUCCAAACAACAAAUUUUUCCUCUGCAAUAUUAAGGUCAGGUAUGAUGUUACCUUUGUGAGCCACAGAUCCUAAGGUUAUGGAAGUACCAGGUGGGGUUGUUUUCUGCACAAAGAAUUGUUGGAGUAAUUCCAGUUGUUCUUUGCUAAAGAUAGAUAUCCCUAUAUUUUCAAGCUUCUCUCUCAAGGUAGUUGAAUUACUUAUGCUCCCUCUCCUAGUAUUAAGUUUUGCAUCUUAUGAUCUGCCAUGCAAAUCCUAGCAUUUAUUCUUAGUGUGACUAAGUUUAUGCAAUGAUUACAUUCUGGCCUUUCCCUCCUUUAUUUUCCAAAGUUGAGUCAUCGUUAUCCUCCUCUAACUAUAAAUGCAGUUGCUCCAAAAUCAUUGAAUGAAUUACGAGUUCCCAUCAUGACUUUCUUGCAGCGUUCAUCACACCUAACUACAGCAAAUGCUUCACGAAGACUGAGAAUCGGUCAUUUGGAAAGGAUCCUUCCACGUACAUCAUCCAAGUUCUUAUUUACUCCUGUUAAGAACUUGUACAAUCUCUUUUGUUCCAAAAGUUUGUUGUGAUACAAAGCAUCAUCUAGACUUUCUUUUCUUGGACAUAUAUUAAGUACACGGCAUCAAAUGGGUGUCACCCAUGUACAAGAAAUUUACAUGUCAAUUAGUAUAUCUACAACAACAUCAAAAUCUUCCAUACUGUAAAGGUUAUGUUCCUAAAUAAUGAAACCACAUAUCUUUAAUAUUCACAAAAAGAUCUUUCCUCCUCUUAAAAGUCCUAUUGUUUCUCUCCUUCCAAACAACUCAAAAGAUGGACAAAGAGAUAAGGCAGGCAAACCUGUUGUUUCUAGAAAAGCCCUCCCAAGCCAAUACUUCAUUGUUCGCCAAAUCUGCCAUUACCCAAUUGAUUCCCAUAAUGUUGUAAACAAGGGCCCAAAGGUUGAAGGAAAAAGGGCACCAAAGCAGUAGGGGAUUGCAGGUCUCAGCAGUACACUUGUAAAGGAAGCAUCUGUUCACCAUAAUUUUCUCUUUUUUCGUCAAGUUAUCGAUAGUUAAUAUGCGCUCUUGGACCACUUCCUAUGCGAAAAAAUAGAUUCUUGCCAGGGGGGAUGCGCCUUCCAAAAUGAUCUUAUAAGGGAACAUCAUGCCCCUCACUUCUCUGCAUCCAACCAAAUGUCUGUAAAAUGAACUGACGGAGAAACUGCCAUUUUCCUUCAGGUUCCAGCACAGCUUGUCACUCCUGUUGUUAAGACAAAUGGUGGCCAACAACUGUAGAAAGUUCUCAUAUUAAGCCACUUCCUAGUCUUGCAGAUUUCUAUUAACUGCCACUGCACAUACCCAGCCAUCAGCAUCCCUGAAAGCUUCCCCAACUAAUAAGUAUUUUGUCCUAAGCAAUAGAAUAAAUCAUGUGGAAUCUGGACAUGAGGCUUUCCUCCCCACACCAUUUAUCAUGCCAAAAUCAAACUCUAUCCCUCUCCCAACAUCCCAUCCGGUGCACUCAAGCACGUUUUUUGUAGAUCGACAUUAUACCUUUCCAAAGACUCAUGUUAUGAGGUCUGUUCAUUAGAGGGAAGCCACCAUCACUGCCCCUUCUCACCCAUUUAAUAUCAAUGAUCCUCUUCCAAAUGCUGUUAUUUUCAUUCACGUAUCUCCAAACCCAUUUUCUAUGAAGCGNNNNNAAACAUAUCAAAGUGUUGCUAAUGACACUUGAGUAUGUUGAAUAUUAAGCGAUGGUAAGUUCUCCAUAUUGUUGAUCAUCAAGGCAUUCCAUUUUGAAAAAUUCAUAUGUACUUUUUAUGUGUGAGUACGCCUCCUUUGCUGCUUCCCAUAUUUCUGCUGCAGUUAUAGAGGAGAAAAUUGUCUCCUAUUUCAUUCGUCAAGGAAUUCAGUCACAACGACAUUACUUGGUUAUUUUAUAGUCGACAUGUUGAGUCUUCCUUCUACAGUUGGACAACUUCACCUGUAACUAUUAUGAAGAUGAGGACUAAUUGUAACCAUUGCAAUUAAUUCUUGCCAUUUAAUUUGUGGACAGUGAUCAUGAGAGGCCGACCUUUGAAGGCUCCCAGUUGCCUGAUAGGACUCGAGAUAACAUCCAUCGAAGGGGCUCCUCUUUUAACGGUCAUGGAUUUUUUUUUAAAAAAUGUCGGUUGUCAGAGUUUAAAUUACUCUGAUACCAUGUAGAAAGGGAGAAAUUUAUUUAAAAAUGGAGAUAUUUCUUUCUACAUUUUGAAAGGCUGAAGACAGCCAAUAUAUACAUACUUUACAAUUAAUUACUUUCCUUAGAGGAAGAUUUGACAAUUAGUUUACAGUAAAUAAGGAAUCAGAAAUAAAAUCUAAUAAUGUCAAAUCUAACUACUAAUAACAAAAGGUAUAGCUACCUAAUGGCCGGAUUUUUUACCAGGUCAAGAAUUAAAGACUGAAAAUAUUUCUACAAUAACGAAUUAAAUGCUGAGAAUAUUUCAACAUUAUGUUGAGAAUAUUUCCCAAUUUAUGCUGAUAAUAUUUCUACACUAAUGCUGAGAAUAUGUCUACAUUAAUGCUGAGAAUAUUUCCGCACUAAUUAAAAUUGAAACUAAUCUCUAACAAUCAAAACAACCCAAACAAUUAUGUCUGACAAAUUCUAAUCACUAUUAAUUGGGUCUUGACAUAGGACAACUUAAUAAAAUAAAUUUAGUUCUUAAUGAACACCUGUAACACUUAAAUUUAUUUCAAUAUAAUUUGAAUUAAAUUGUAAAUAUAAUUUUGUAGGUUUUUUUGUUUAAUUUUAAUUUAAUGAAAAAAUGAAGUAAAAUUAAUGGAGAAUUAAAUUGAAAACAACUCUAGGAAGAAGGAGUGAAAAUUUGGGUUCUGAGAGUAUUUUUGAAAGAAAAAUCGGAAAACAGAAACUAAAAACGCAAUUUUGGAACGUUUUACCACAUCAGACGCCGGGUCAGCAGCCCGGAAUAACCAGAACGCGACAAGUGGCAAAGAUGUUGACGCGGGAGACCACGCGGGGGGGCCACGUGGGCGAUCCGCGUGCCCGUGAUAGAACGACUGAGGUCCGUUCCUGCACGUGCGGACGGCCUGCAUGCGCUCCCUCCCAAACGCGAUCGAACAGCCAGAUUCAAACACGAUCGGACGGCUCAUAGUGAAUAGCGAUUGACGAUCCAGAUUGGAUGGCGAUGAACAGCCCAGAUUCACUCCCUAUUUAAUCGCGAUCGGACGGUACAGAUCAAACGCGAUGCAUGCCCAAGAUCAAAAGCAGAUAGGUAUAAAUAAUCCCCAUCCGCACCAAACCCUAAUCCUAGCUGCCAGAAUCCCUCGCCAGAGAAGACAACCUAGCCGCCGGGGAGCCGACCGCCGCCACUCACUGCCACACCGGAACCCUUUCCGACCGCCAAAAAAGGUAAAAACUUCUCUUUUGCACGAAAUUCAAUUUUAAGCUCACCCAUGACCAAAUCGGAGUGAUUGGCCAGAAAACAUCGGCGAAGCCCAACACCGUCGCCGCGGAAAAUUUCAUAAAACGCCUCCAAUGAGACCCUUCCCGAUUCCCGUUUCGCGUGAUUUUUCCACCGUUGUGAUCACCGUUUUCUUCUCCACAGGUUGACCAAAGUAAAACAUCCAACCGCAACGUAAGCCUGAGAAGCCGCCGCAUCGGAGAGUCCUGCCACUGGUGAGUUUCGGUUGUUCGUGUUUUUUCGGCCAACCGAUGGCUUUUAACGUGUUUUCUCGCAAGAAUCGAUGCAAAAUCGGCCAAAUUCAGCCGAAAACAGCCGACUCGAGACGGACCGCCACCGCAGGCAACGGCACUAUCCCCGGAGCACGGUGGAGCAGCCGUGCCGGAUUUCUAAAAUUGGUCGAGUUGGCCCUAGGACUGAUUUUGGGUUUAUUUGAAACAUUUGUAGGUACUAUAAGCGCAUUUCAGUUUUCAGAGAAAAAUUCAGGGGACCCAGGGACUGCCCGUAGUCACAAUAAACCGUUUACCUUUUCGACGUUAAAUCGAGUAAAUAUCCCUCACUUUAUUCCAUAUCAUAGAGUUGAAGUUUAAAUAAAUAAUAAUAUGAUAUUUGUGUAAAUUAAAUGAAUGUCCAUAAUUAAUUACUAAUUGCUAAUGGAGUCCGAACCGAAAAUUGUUCUCUGUUAAUCUUUGUUGAUAUAUUUUAUAGUCUAAAAGCAUGAUAGUGUCUUAUUGUUUUAUUUUAUGGUUUGAAUGCACAAAUUGUUACCUUACGUAACUACUGUUGAUUGGAAAAUUGAAAUAUGCUUGUAUUCCCUUAUGCUUGUUUGUUUGUUUAUGUGAUUAUGGUUGAUUUGAAAAAUGGAGACUAAAGGAAAACAGGAGAGUUAUGUGAUUAAAUAAACAGAUUGAAUGGCAGCUUUACUGAAUAUCCUGAGAGAUAGUGGACGAUCGGGUACAUAGAGAAUCUUACCGUGAAUGUUGUCUCAUACCGGACGGGGUAUGAAGACCUGAUAAUUCGGCGCCCAUACCGAACGGGGUAUAAGGACGGCCCGCUUCACCCUCAUACCGGACGGAGUAUUGAGAUUUAAUGAUUUGGCGCUCAUACCGAACGAGAUAUGAGAACGGCUCUGUAAUUGAGAUUGUUAAAGGAAAGAGUUCACGUGUAGCGGGAACAUCCCUAUGAACCCUCAUGGAUACUAGUAGGCUGGUGAAAAGAGAAACAGUUAUGGUUUGGUUUAUUGUUAAUGGAUAUAGAUUUAUAAUGUGUUCUAUGUUGCUGAUUGUUCAUGAAGUUAUGAUCUGUAUAGUAUUAUUAUUUUUAUAAGUUGUUUUCAUAAAUUCCACUAUGAUAAGUGAACGAGUAAUGAUUUUAUGAUUGAUAAACGAAUUUACUAAAUUUAAUGCUCCACUAAUGGUUUUCGAUUUUAUAUCAACUUUGACUUCUGUGCCGGUGAUAUAGUGUGAUAUCCUUAAUAGACUAGUGUAACUCAUCCUUUAUUUAACCAUUUCAUAUCAAGAGGAUCAACUUCCAGAUCCCGAUCCGUAAAAAAAUUGCGAGUAGAUGCUAGAUAUUUUCUAUUUUUCAUUUGUUUUCUUAGUUCUCGUGUUUCUUUUAAAAAAUAAAUUCCAUAAUAUUAUUCAGUACUUUUAAGUUAUUGUAUAAGAAAUGUAAAUCUUAAUCUUUUAUUUUACUUUCGCACUUAAGUUAUUAUAUAUUUUAUUUUGGAUUUUCGGGACCGUUACAACACCAAAUAACCAAAAAAGAAAGUAAAUGUUAAAAGUAGCACCUGCAACAGCAUAGAGAGUGUCAUCAAUGAGAAAAUAAGGAGAGAUUCUCGUAAAUGAAUCACAAAAUAUAACACAACAUUUUAAGGGAUAAACAUGGUUUUAACAUUUUAGGGACAUUAUAAAUUUAUAUCAAUCAACAAAUUCUAUUCAUGCACACACACAACGGGCUGCAAAGCAUUGGUACCAUUUAAAUGGAUAGAACUGUCCAUUUCACCGUGGAAGAGUUAUCCAUGGUUUAAAACAAUCUUCUAGUUGCAUCUUCAACCCAGCCACCCAACCGAAUAUAUGUAUCCUUCCCUCUGUUGCUCUAUUUCAAAUGGACAAAAGUGAGGUUUACUGUUUAUCCCAAGUAGAUAAGUUGAACUGCAGUCAACAUGAAAUACACCAUCCAGACAAAAUUCUUACGCCAAACUAACAAGCAACCUAGACGUAAUAAGCUAAUUCUUUACUCCCUCUAUUACAUUGUUAGCAUAGCAUGAGGAGGAUCCAAUAAAGCAAUAUUUAUAUGAUACUGCCAACGUCAAAAAGAAAAUUAGGAAUAAACCUAGGUAACAGAACUGAACUUCAGGACCAAUAUAGCAUCACUUGAUAGGUCCUCUCAUCUGCCAAACAAAGAAAUUACUGGAGUUCCAACCACAUAAAACUUCCUUCAAGUUUUAACUACGAUCAUUGAUCAAAAUUGGUGGCAACACUUCCCUUUGCACAAAGUACAAUAUUUCUGAGCUGUCCCAUUAGCAGCGAAAGCUCGAGGACCUUUCCAAAUAAGCAACCUCAAACAUCGAAAUCUAACUCCACUUCUAACAGCACCAAUUCAAUGUCCACCUAACCAGCUCCGCGAAACCCAAGUUUUCCCAAGUUCGACCAUUCACUUCUAUUUCGGCAAAUUUCGAUAGACUAUUCGCCCAACAAUCAAAUAAAAUAAAUCUUAUAGAAAAUCGAUAAGGACCAAUUUUUCCUCGCACAACAACAGCAGCAGCAGAAAAUGGAUUCGAGCACUUACUAUAACCAACCAAAACAUACAAUUUUCAUGACUAAAUAGAAUUUCAACAAAACUAAUAACGAAAAUCAAGCUAAAACCAAAAUUACCUCAAAAUAAGCAGCAAAAACUCAAAGCAAAAUUCAAUGAAACAGAGCGCAUUUCUCUAUCUUCCUUGCUUUCAUCUGCUACUUAAACCAAACUGUCGUAGUUAUGAAGAGAUUAUUGCCGCCGAGAGAGAAUCAUUAUCGAUAUUAAGCUCGAACUAUUAAGGCGUCAAAAUCAAAGCCCUAAGAUUCUCAGAAACCAAUAUGAAAAAGCACUAAUUCUAAUAAUUGGAACCGGACCGAAGGCGAUAAAAUUCCUAGAGAGAGAGAGAGAGUUCUAUAAAACUGAGCACACGGAGAUGAAAGAGAAAAUGGUUAAGUGAGAAGCUACACCCCGAAAAUUAUUAUUAUUAUCAUUUUUAUUACGAUAGGAAGUUACUUUUCAAUUUAUAUUUCGAUUCUCCUAAAAAAUGUAAAUAAUAAAUAAAUAACAUUUUUAAUAAACAAAUUGUUAUUUUGGGAACAGUACAUUGGAA